GAACCGAGCGAACGUUGUUCGGAAUCACUGGGCUUAAAGGGCGCGUAGGCGGCUUACCAAGUCAGGGGUGAAAUUUUGCGGCUUAACCGUAACAGUGCCUUUGAUACUGGUAGGCUCGAGGGAGAUAGGGGUCUGCGGAACUUCUGGUGGAGCGGUGAAAUGCGUUGAUAUCAGAAGGAACGCCGGUGGCGAAAGCGGCAGACUGGAUCUCUUCUGACGCUGAGGCGCGAAAGCCAGGGGAGCAAACGGGAUUAGAUACCCCGGUAGUCCUGGCCCUAAACGAUGGGUACUAGAUUGUAAGCGUGACAUGCGCCUACAGUCGAAGCAAAAGUGUUAAGUACCCCGCCUGGGGAGUAUGGUCGCAAGGCUGAA
rnacentral:rRNA from 1 species